UGUAAUCACGUUCUAACCUUUUGACCGCCAACUAGAAUGUCAUAAGCACGCUUUCGACACCCGAGCGACUUUCAGAGGUCAGACGGAUAGCCCAAAGGGUAUUCGUUGCAAUCCUCGAUCCCAAUCGUCACAUCCACCAAAGGCUAUAACACUCCGAUACGAGAUCGAAGCCACAUUCCUCCGAUCAUUUUAUGACGAUUAAAAUCGAUGUUGACCUACCAUACGGAAAAGUACACCUAAAAGUACCAUAACGCAAAGCAACGAAGGCCGCAAAGCUCAACAUUACCCA
rnacentral:rRNA from 1 species